CCUCACACUGGGGGAUAACAGUUAGAAAUGGCUGCUAAUACCGCAUAAGCGCACAGUACCGCAUGGUACGGUGUGAAAAACCCAGGUGGUGUGAGAUGGAUCCGCGUCUGAUUAGCCAGUUGGCGGGGUAACGGCCCACCAAAGCGACGAUCAGUAGCCGACCUGAGAGGGUGACCGGCCACAUUGGGACUGAGACACGGCCCAA
rnacentral:rRNA from 1 species